CUACGGGGUGCACCAGUGGGGAAUUUUGCGCAAUGGGGGAAACCCUGACGCAGCAAUACCGCGUGAGUGAAGAAGGCCUUUGGGUCGUAAAGCUCUUUUCUUGGGGAAGAUAGUGACGGUACCCAAGGAAUAAGCACCGGCUAACUCCGUGCCAGCAGCCGCGGUAAUACGGAGGGUGCAAGCGUUGUUCGGAUUUACUGGGCGUAAAGGGCACGUAGGCGGCACAGCAAGUUAAGGGUGAAAUCCCGGGGCUCAACUCCGGAACUGCUCUUAAAACUGCUGAGCUAGAGAUAGUCAGAGGCGGGUGGAAUUCCAGGUGUAGAGGUGAAAUUCGUAGAUAUCUGGAGGAACACCGGUGGCGAAGGCGGCCCGCUGGGGCUAUGCUGACGCUAAGGUGCGAAAGCGUGGGGAGCAAACGGGAUUAGAUACCCCCGUAGUC
rnacentral:rRNA from 1 species